GCUUGCCGAGAUCGUGGCAGAGACCAGCAGCGAGAAGCAGAGCUCCCAGAGCAUCCAGCCUCGAUUUAGGAGCGUUUGCACUUUCACCUAAGCAGAAAGCUUGGCCAUCCCGACUCCCCCUGCACCUCCUGACUCCAAGGUCUCUGUUGGCAGCUGCUCUCCCGCUCUCCCGCUCUCCCGCCGCCAGGAACUCUCCCAGCAAAGAAGCUGCAGCGUUUCCAGCCCAGCCAUGCUCCUGCUGCUCGCCUCAGUGCUGGGGCUUCACUUGGCCCUGAGAGACGCUGGAGCCCAGACUGUGACCCAGCCCGACACCCAUGUCUCUGUGUCUGAAGGAGACUCUGUGGAGCUGAGGUGCAACUACUCCUAUGGGGGAGCUAUUUACCUCUUCUGGUAUGUCCAGCACCGUGGCCAAGGUCCUCAGCUUCUCCUGAAAUACGUUUCAGGGAACACCCUGGUUCAGGGCCUCUACGGUUUUGAGGCUGAAUUUAAGAAGAGCGAAUCUUCCUUCCACCUGAGGAAGCCCUCUGUGCAGCUGAGUGACGCGGCCCAGUACUGGUGUGCUCUGAGUGCCACAGCGCCUGGGGCUGCAGGGGGAGCAGUGCAUAAACCACCCCUGAGUGCAGAGCUCAGAAACUCAGCAGCUCUUCCUGGAGCUCCAACCAGCAAAGGAGAAUGAGUGAGAG